UACGUAGGGGGCUAGCGUUAUCCGGAAUUACUGGGCGUAAAGGGCGCGCAGGCUGUUAUGCGAGUCUGCUGUGAAAUGUACCGGCUCAACCGGUGCCUUGCGGCGGAUACUGCAUAGCUGGAGUACUGGAGAGGGAAGUGGAAUUCCCGGUGUAGCGGUGAAAUGCGUAGAUAUCGGGAGGAAUACCGAAGGCGAAGGCAGUCUUCCAAGCCGUUAUUGACGCUCAACUGCGAAGGUGUGGGUAUCAAACAGGAUUAGAUACCCU
rnacentral:rRNA from 1 species